ensembl:processed_transcript
CUCCCUUUCCUCUUGGGUCAGUGGCUCUCGUACGGAGCUAGAGAGCUAUUGAAAAAGCAUUGCGGUAAAACUGUCUCUUUACACAUGACGAAACGCUUCUCCGUGUCAGCUCCGGGAGGAGGAGGAGAUGAAAACACGUUCGUUUUGCAUACUCAAUCCGACGCGACGAUUGCGCGCGAGAAAGCGAGGAUGAGCACGUCGAGAACGCGAAGGGCAAGUGUUUAAUAGAGACUUCAUCCAGACAUCAUCCAAUCGUCGCUUGUUUCUCAGGGAAGAGGAGUACUUUAUAGCACAGCCUAUAGAGUGUGCGCGCUCAUGUGUGAGAUGGAGAGCAGCGCCGCGUAUUGGUCCCUCGCAGGUUUUCAGUAGCCAUGGCAACCAGUCAGAAUACUUCAGUAAUCAGUGCGCGGGCUCAGGGGAGAUGCUCAGGUCACCUCUCUGGCAUUCAAGGGCAAACAUACCGCACUGAAAACUUCAAAAUAUCUUCAAGUUUGAUGAAAGGUCUAGCCAUGGUCUGGUGAAAUUCUGAAAGACAGUAC